AGAGUUUGAUCCUGGCUCAGGAUGAACGCUGACAGAAUGCUUAACACAUGCAAGUCAAUGGGGAAACGGUGCUUGCACCGUGAUAACCAUGGCGGACGGGUGAGUAACGCGUAAAGAACUUGCCUCUUAGUCUGGGAUAACAGAUGGAAACGACUGAUAAAACUAGAUAUUAUUAAAGUUUCGCAUGAAGCUUUAAUGAAAAGAGAUGCUAAGAGAGAGCUUUGCGUCCUAUUAGUUAGUUGGUGAGGUAACGGCUCACCAAGACGAAGAUAGGUAGCCGGUCUGAGAGGAUGAACGGCCACAAGGGGACUGAGAUACGGCCCUUACUCUUACGGGAGGCAGCAGUGGGGAAUAUUGGACAAUGGAGGAGACUCUGAUCCAGCAAUUCUGUGUGCACGAAGACGGUUUUCGGAUUGUAAAGUGCUUUCAGCAGGGAAGAAGAAAGUGACGGUACCUGCAGAAGAAGCGACGGCUAAAUACGUGCCAGCAGCCGCGGUAAUACGUAUGUCGCGAGCGUUAUCCGGAAUUAUUGGGCAUAAAGGGCAUCUAGGCGGAUAUACAAGUCAGGGGUGAAAACUUAGGGCUCAACUCAAAGCUUGCCUUUGAAACUGUAUAUCUAGAGUGCUGGAGAGGUGGACGGAACUACACGAGUAGAGGUGAAAUUCGUAGAUAUGUGUAGGAAUGCCGAUGAUGAAGAUAGUCCACUGGACAGCAACUGACGCUGAAGUGCGAAAGCUAGGGGAGCAAACAGGAUUAGAUACCCUGGUAGUCCUAGCUGUAAACGAUGAUUACUGGGUGUGGGCAUGAAGAGUGUCCGUGCCGAAGCUAAUGCGAUAAGUAAUCCGCCUGGGGAGUACGGCCGCAAGGCUGAAACUCAAAGGAAUUGACGGGGACCCGCACAAGCGGUGGAGCAUGU
rnacentral:rRNA from 1 species